AAAUCAACACUUGAUCUGCUACAGCUAUCUGUCAUCAUUGCAUUCAAAUUCAUGCCCAGUAGGUUUAUAUUUCCUUUCCAGCAGAACCAGCAAUUUGUCCUGCUUUAAAGAUCUGCCCAAGGGUAAGGCCUGAGUGAUGCUGAGGACACAUAAUGCCCUUGUUCCCAGGAAGAGGAGAAAGCACUGGGGUCUUCUGAUUAAACAAUUCAUCAAGAAGAUAGAUGGCAAGCCCUUUGGUAGUCAUGCCUAAAAGGUCAGAAGAUGCUGGCCAGAAGAAGGGAAAAAAAGAGAAAGAAACAAAAACAAACAAGGGACUUGAAAGUACUGUGAGAAUCCAAAGCCUGGCAUUAGAUUUGGCAACAGGGCCGGCGCUGUGGCACAGUGGGUGAACGCCCUGGCCUGAAGCACCAGCAUCCCAUAUAGAUGCUGGUUCGAGUCCCAGCUGCUCCUCUUCCGAUCCAGCUCUCUGCUAUGGCCUGGGAAAGCAGUAGAAGAUGGCCCAAGUCCUUGGGCCCCUGCACCCAUGUGGGAGACCCGGAAGAAGCUCCUGGCUUUUGGCUUCGGAUCAGCACAGCUCCAGCAACUGCGGCCAACUGGAGAGUGAACCAUUGGAUGGAAGACCUCUCUCUCUCUCUCUCUCGCUCUUUCUCUGCUUCUCUCUCUGUGUA